rnacentral:ncRNA from 1 species
UAUGCUAGGGGAGCCUUUUGGCUGAGAAGUUUUUUAACUGACCCUUUGAACCUGAUCUGGAUAGUACCAGCGUAGGAAAGCUAUUU